CAGCACCUCAAGUGGUCAGGAUGAUUAUUGGGCCUAAAGCAUCCGUAGCCGGCUCUGUAAGUUUUCGGUUAAAUCUGUAUGCUCAACAUACAGGCUGCCGGGAAUACUGCAGAGCUAGGGAGUGGGAGAGGUAGACGGUACCCGGUAGGAAGGGGUAAAAUCCUUUGAUCUAUUGAUGACCACCUGUGGCGAAGGCGGUCUACCAGAACACGUCCGACGGUGAGGGAUGAAAGCUGGGGGAGCAAACCGGAUUAGAUACCCGAGUAGUCC
rnacentral:rRNA from 1 species